CGAAGAAACUGAGAUACUUAUUUAUGAGGACAUAAACUUUGCACGCAAGAACCUGGAAAGUCCUGAAGGUGCAGUGCUGUCUAAUGCCGCUGGUUCUGUAAUAACCCUUUCAACCAUUGGGGUGUUGCACAGAGCUUUGUGGUGAAAAUCCAGCAAACAAAAGAAGAACUAAGAACUAUAUGGAAGCUGACAUUGUCUUGUUGUCAGCCAUAUUGCUACCCUUAGCCAUUUUUAUGGAACAAAAUGUCUGGUGUCUAACCUGAUUUCUUUAUACUCUGUGAAAGACUUAUUCUAUUUUUCUGAACUAUGCUGAACUAUUGAACUAUUUUUAUUUUUAUUUUUGUAGAGUUAGCCAGAGAGAGAGGAAGUGUUAGCUGACCCAGGGAUGGAUGUACUAUGUGUGUUUUUUAUAUAUGUUGAGUGUGCCAGGGAUGGAUUCCCAUGUUUUGAGGAACUGCGUGAGGAUAUGACUGGUUUUGACUGGACUUUUGGAAUAGGGAAAUGGUUAAAAGAUAUAGGACGCAAGGUCCUGGUUGUGCUAUAAUAUAGUUGCUAUAAGCCCAAGUUCCAUUCUGUCUUAAACAUCCAUUUUCUAUAUAUCUGUCUGCAAAAGUAUUAAGUGGUUUUUGUUUUGUUUUUUUUCUGCUGAGUUUCUGUUUCUUGUAGACCACAUGAUUGCUUGGGAAUGCCAUAAUGUGGAAAUUUCUCUGUCUUGGGAGAAUGUUAUCCGAUGAUAUGAGCAAUAUAUAUUGCUCAAAGAGGGGUAACAAUUGUGAUUAUUGGGGCUCAGUUGGAUGGAACACCGGGACAGAUUGGGGUUAUAAGCCACAGAAUGCAUUAGAUAAAAAGGAUACGAAUGGGAAGUCCCUCUUGACUAGAAUGACCCUAACAAAGCCAGGUACAUGUACCCCUAUAGGGCAAACUGGGCACUCCAUGAAAUUUACCUUAAAUAUUGAAAACCCCAGUCCUGGAGAUCAAGGUAUUUAUAUUCUCAGUACCUUUUUAAGAGGAGGUAUUGGAGGUAAUCGAGGAAAAAUCCAGUUAAAAGAUAUAUGGAACUCCUCAAAAUGGGAAAGCCUCACCUCUAGACAAACUCUUGUUAAU